rnacentral:rRNA from 1 species
GAUGAACGCUGGCGGCGUGCCUAAUACAUGCAAGUCGAGCGAACGGACGAGAAGCUUGCUUCUCUGAUGUUAGCGGCGGACGGGUGAGUAACACGUGGAUAACCUACCUAUAAGACUGGGAUAACUUCGGGAAACCGGAGCUAAUACCGGAUAAUAUUUUGAACCGAAUGGUUCAAAAGUGAAAGACGGUCUUGCUGUCACUUAUAGAUGGAUCCGCGCUGCAUUAGCUAGUUGUUAAGGUAACGGCUUACCAAGGCAACGAUGCAUAGCCGACCGCAGAGGGUGAUCGGCCAAACUGGAACUGGAACACGGUCCGGCCUCCUACGGGAGGCAGCAGUCGGGAAUCUUCCGCGAUGGGCGAAAGCCGGACGGAGCAACGCCGCGGGAGUGAUGAAGGUCUUCGGAUCGUAAAACUCUGUUAUUAGGGAAGAACAUAUGUGUAAGUAACUGUGCACAUCUUGACGGUACCUAAUCAGAAAGCCCCGGCUAACUACGUG